GGUGCCGUAGCCAAGUAGUAAGGCAGGGGUCUGCAAAACCCCCAUACGCGAGUGCAAUUCUCGCCGGCACCU
rnacentral:tRNA from 1 species